rnacentral:rRNA from 1 species
ACUGCAUGAUGGAGGGGGAUAACUACUGGAAACGGUAGCUAAUACCGCAUAACGUCGCAAGACCAAAGAGGGGGACCUUCGGGCCUCUUGCCAUCAGAUGUGCCCAGAUGGGAUUAGCUAGUAGGUGGGGUAACGGCUCACCUAGGCGACGAUCCCUAGCUGGUCUGAGAGGAUGACCAGCCACACUGGAAGUGAGACACGGUCCAGACUCCUACGGGAGGCAGCAGUGGGGAAUAUUGCACAAUGGGCGCAAGCCUGAUGCAGCCAUGCCGCGUGUAUGAAGAAGGCCUUCGGGUUGUAAAGUACUUUCAGCGGGGAGGAAGGUGUUGUGGUUAAUAACCGCAGC